rnacentral:rRNA from 1 species
UACGUAGGGGGCAAGCGUUGUCCGGAAUCAUUGGGCGUAAAGAGCGUGUAGGCGGCCCCGAUAAGUCCGCUGUGAAAGUCCAGGGCUCAACCCUGGGGAUGCCGGUGGAUACUGUCCGGGCUCGAGUCCGGAAGAGGCCGAGUGGAAUUCCCGGUGAUAGCGGUGAAAUGCGUAGAUAUCAGGAGGAACACCGGUGGCGAAGGCGGCUAUCUGGACAGAAACUGACGCUGGAGGCGACGAAAGCUAGGGGAGCAAACAGG